rnacentral:lncRNA from 1 species
AUUGAGAUGCUAAAAUGAGAGAGCUAAAUUGGAAAGCUUUUUCCACAUAGGGGGCCGUGAGCAGGUGGCUGUUUUGUCCUCUGGCACCUUUGGCUCAGACUUAAGCAGCUUCAACGACCGCCAAGAUGCCUGCCAUGCCCACCAAGAUUUAAAGGACUCUGAUAAUUCUUUCUCUCCCCAAACGGUGUUUUCCUUAUCUAAUCCUAAUAACCAAGCCUGGAGGAAUCCCUGACUUCGUGAUUGAAGGCUCUCCAGGUCCCCUAGUUUAAGGGCAGAGAUUUACUUUCUCUGAGGCUACAAAGGAGCGUCUGCGAGAAUGUCUCUACCUUAGACAAAACAGGGAGGAGGGGUGGAGCUCUCCAAAUUGCCUCUGGUUUGGGCUUUUUCUUUCUGUUUUGGUGUAUCGUCUCUGGCCAACAACACCUGUGAGUCCUUGAUGUGACGAUUAGGGAAGAUGUUUUUAAUUCACAUAACUAUUCUUUAGAGAAAAUUGAUCCUGAAACACCUUAUUGCCUUAUCGUAGAAUGACUGCAUUACUCAGAAUUCUUUACCUCUACCGGAAUUUAGUGAAGGGAAGGCACAACGUACAUUAGGAAAAUACAGGACACACUCCAGUCCUUAAACCUUCCACAAUCUUCUAGCUCUUUAAGGUCGAGUGUGAUCCUCCCCAGAACUGCAUCUUCCAGGAAGCUCAUGAGAAAGGAAGGAUCCCAGGUCCCAUCUCUGAUCUGAGUCGGCAUCUGCGUUUUAACAGAAUCCUGAAGCAGUGGUCUAACUCCUUUGGUGGUGUUAUUGUUUGCAUGUAUACCUCCAAAAUUCACAUAUUGAAAUACUAACCCCCAAGGUGAUAGUAUUAGGAGGUGGGGCCUUUGGGAGGUAAUUAAGUCAUGAGGGUGAAGCCCUCAUGAAUGGGAUUAGUACUCUUAGAAAAGGGACCCCAGAGAGGUCUCUUUCCACCAUGUAAGGAUAAAAGUACACGGAGAAGAUGGCAAUCUGCAAACUGGAAAAGGGCCCUCCUCAGAACCUGACCAUCUUGGCACCUUGAUCUCAGACUUCCAUCUUCCAGAACUGUGAGAAAUAAAUUUCUUUUAUAAACACUCAGUCAAUGCUACUUUAUUAUAGCAGCCUGAAUGGAUUAAGACAGGUGGUCUGGUUUAAAGUGAUGUGGUGGCAUCAGAAGUUUAAGGAGAGACUGGAUUUACAGAACCAGAAUCUGGGAUGCUGUUUACAGAGCAAGUUAUUUCCUGCAUUUGGACACUGUCAGCAGGUCGAUUCAGGAGACAGGUGAAAACUUUAUCACCGGGCAGCCUGGAUGAACACCACAACUUUGAUAUCUUUCACUUAAAGGAAAGAUAAGGGCAUCCACUAUUUCUACACCUGGCUGGCAGAGUGAGAGCUCACCAAAGCACUUACAAAUUCAUGGACUAUUAUGAAGACAAGUUAAGAGAUUGUGUCCUCCAAACUCAUCAUUUUUCAGGUUUUACCAAAUGGGCUCCUGUUCUACAUUGUGUGAUCAUAGAUAUUUGUACUUCUUGGAUCAGCAAAAGAUGGGCAUUUACAGGAACCACCAUUGAGGCAAAUAAUGUCUGAUGUGGAGAGAAUACAAUGCCAAGUAUUGUAAUUGGUUUAUUUUUUGUUAUUUUUUAUAUAUUUUCUUAUAAGAAUAUAAGGCAAAAUGUGUCUCUAUAUUUAGUUGGAGAUGUGUAUACAGCAGUAAGACACAUACAUAGUUGCUGAUUCUACUCUUCAGAUAUCUGAGUGUCAUUUGUAAUCCUUCCCUUGGUCUACUGAGAGUGUUUUGUACUUUAAUAUAUUUAACGCAAUGUCGCCGUUUCACAGAUUUAUUUUAUUUUAAAAAGAUACACAGACUUCAGUAUAUUGUAGUAAACAAAAGUAGAAAAAUUAAGGCAGCAAUUGGAGAAAUAAUUACAUAUUCUUUCCCUGGGAUGUAAGCAUGCAAAAUACAUGAAGAUAUAUGCUUUUCAUUCGAAAUAAGGAAAAUAAAAGACUCUGCCUCAUGAUGCUCAUGAAAACAAUCAUUUUUUACUUUUUGGCAAUGGCUUUGGAGUGGAAGCACAUUACUGUCAUCUCCUGAAAGAAUUAAAUAUAAAGUGGAAACCCAGUGAAGAGGAAGAAAAUGCCAUAUAAAUUUCAAAUGAAGAUUUGGAACCAGAUUAUGAUGAACAAUGUUGCUAAACCUUGUGAUCUCUACCUUCUUUAGUCCCUCCUUGGGAAUAGCAUAACAGUGGACCCAGCCAUCUAGGAUUAUUUGAAGUAACUUUGGGUGGUACAGUUCAGAAGAAUCAACCCUAGAGAGCCUUAAAUAACAAUACCGAAAUGGGACAUAUUGCCAUUAAAUCUGUCCCUAACUUAAAAAUGUUUAACUAGAUGCUACAAAAAAAAAAAGUAAUACUUUGCUAAUACUUUCCAGAAAGAAGGAUGGAGGGGAGAAAAUAAAUACACGUAAAAAAGACUCCUUUGAUCUUUUCCAGUAAUGUGGAAUGCUCACUUUAAUGGAACUAUGAUUCAAACUGCACCUAUAAGAACCAGGAUCAAGAUCUACAUGUUCAAAUGUUUGGAAAUUUUCUGAAAACAUCUAAUUAGGUCUUGAAAAUUUUCAAACAUAUGAUUAGCUCUUGUUCCCAAUUCUUAUAGGUGCAGUUUAGUUAUAGUACCGUUAAGUCAGAAUAUAUGAAACUUCAGUUAGAAGGAAUAAGUUCAAGAGAUCUAUUGGAAAACAGGGUGACUAUAGUUAAUAACAGGGUAUUGCGUUCUUGAAAGUUGUUAAGAGAGUAGAUUUUAAAUAUUCUGGCAACAAAGAAUAAGUUAUAUUUCAUAUAAUAAAAUAUAUAUUCAUAAUAAUACAUAUGUUAAUUACCCCAAUUGAACCAUUCCAUAAUGUAUACAUGUUUCAAAAUAUGUUGUAUGCAAUACAAACAAGUUUUAUUUGGUUGGUGCAAAAGCAAUUGUGGUUUUUGCCAUUAAAAGUAAUGGUAAAUAUUACUUUUUUGUAAUAAAGUAGUAUUUAAUUAAAGGAUAAAUAAUUAAAGGAUAAAUAGUUUUUUAGAAUUUAAAUAAUCUGAAAUUAUGCCAGUGCUGAGAGAGAUUAGGAAGACAUGAGAAAGUCACCCAAUUAAAUAAGAAACCCACACUGAAAUGUCUGCAAAAUACAGCACUGUCAAGAUGAUUUUAUCAUGGAGAAAAAUAUUCCAAAAUCCAGAAAGUAAUUACCUAUUCGGAGAAGAUAGAUGAAAAUGGGGAAACAUUAGGUUGAAACACAUUUUUACAAGUCCCUAUCAUUGAAAAUAAACUUUACUUCUCUGUAAUACUUGUUCAAUUCUAUUGAUUCAAGAGAAGGCCCAAUUGAUUUGGAAAAUGAAAUUUAAAAGGAAUCCAGAUAGUUUCAUGAGUUUUUAACUGAACAGAAUAUUUGAAAACCCUUGCACUACAAAGAAAUUUUAACAACAUUGACGUGUAUGCCUGAUUUUAGCUUUGCUGUGGUUUUAGGGUGGUCCAAUCUUAACAAUUUUAAACAGGCCCAGAGAUAUUCAUUAUGUGAUUAUGAAUCACUUCCAAGGGUAAAUUUUAGAGUAGGAUUUAGUCAUAUCUAUAACAACACUGAUGGAGCAUGUGUCAAGUUAAAGGCAAAAUAUUAAGAAUAAGGGACAGUUCUCAGCUGACUGGAGUGAGUCAAACGUCAACAGUAUUUCAGAUAUCAUGAACCAUUUGCCCAGAUAGUCCAGUAUUCAUUGAAUAACAUGUCACAUGUGUAGGAUCUCAAUAGCUGAGCUGCCUGAGGACAAUUUUUCUUUAGCUGGGUUCCCCACUGGAAUCAACUGAAAGGAGUUGUUUUUAGAAAUGCUAUUGGUGGAGCACCAUCCCCAGAGAUUCUAAUUCAAUGCAGGCAGAGGGUGGAAGAGUUUGGGAAAGAUGAUGGCUCCAUUUCUUAAAGCUUCCCCAGUUGAUUUCAGUAUGAAUCUACAGCUAAAACUACCAUCGUGGGUCAUAACUAGAACUGUAUUUGAUACUUGUGUCUUUUUCUAUUUCAGUUUUUAUGAGACUAGCAACACCCAGUUUAUAAGGUAGAAUCUGCAACUACUAUACAAUAUACUUGAAAAACUUCUUUGAAUAUUGAAGUUUAACAUCACAGCAUAUCUGGUACAUUCUAAAUGAGCAUCUUCCCAGGGAAUUGACCCACAGUCAUGGUCUUAAAAUGUUUCGGUCACCCCCAUUUUAAAUUAAUAAAAGGUGGCUGUGGAACUGCCCAAAAAACUGGUAUUGGCUUUCAGCUAGAGAUGUCAACUGGCUGGCUCUUGUUUCUUGUAAAGUGGCCAAUAUGUGGUUUGGAGCUCUGAUUAGGGGAAAUUCUGGUAAUAUUAAGAAAACAUUCUCCUGCUAUGUAACGGGCCAGGAAUGUAUACUCAAAAUCCAAAAAAUCAUCUAAUAAAAUGUUUUAAAACAAGUA